rnacentral:rRNA from 1 species
GUGAGGAAUAUUGGUCAAUGGGCGGGAGCCUGAACCAGCCAAGUCGCGUGAAGGAAGAAGGAUCUAUGGUUCGUAAACUUCUUUUGCAGGGGAAUAAAGUGCAGGACGUGUCCUGUUUUGUAUGUACCCUGAGAAUAAGGAUCGGCUAACUCCGUGCCAGCAGCCGCGGUAAUACGGAGGAUCCGAGCGUUAUCCGGAUUUAUUGGGUUUAAAGGGUGCGUAGGUGGUUUGAUAAGUCAGCGGUGAAAGUUUGCAGCUUAACUGUAAAAAUGCCGUUGAAACUGUCGGACUUGAGUGUAAAUGAGGUAGGCGGAAUGCGUGGUGUAGCGGUGAAAUGCAUAGAUAUCACGCAGAACUCCGAUUGCGAAGGCAGCUUACUAAGCUACAACUGACACUGAAGCACGAAAGCGUGGGGAUCAAACAGGAUUAGAAACCCUGGUAGUCC